GUCGGUAAAACUCGUGCCAGCCACCGCGGUUAUACGAGAGGCUCAAGUUGACAGACAACGGCGUAAAGCGUGGUUAAGGAAAAUAUGUAACUAAAGCGGAACCUCCCCCUAGCUGUUAUACGCUUCCGAGGAAGUGAACCCCAACUACGAAAGUGGCUUUAUCCAACCUGAACCCACGAAAGCUAAGAAACAAACUGGGAUUAGAUACCCCACUAUG
rnacentral:rRNA from 1 species